AGCGAACGCUGGCGGCAGGCCUAACACAUGCAAGUCGAACGACCCUUUCGUGGUUAGUGGCUGACAGGUGAGUAACGCGUCGGAACGUGCCUUUAGACUCGGAAUUACACAGGUAAACUUGUGCUAAUACCGAGUGUGUCCCUCGGAUACCAGAUUAAUCGUCUUUAGAGAGGCCCGCGUUUGAUUAGCUAGUUGGUUGAGGUAAUGGCUCACCAAGGCGACGAUCAGUAGCGGGUCUGAGAGGAUGAACAGCCACAUUGGGACUGAGACACGGCCCAAACUCCUACGGGAGGCAGCAGUGGGGAAUCUAGCGCAAUGGGCGAAAGCCUGACGCAGCCAUGCCGCGUGAAUGAUGAAGGUCUUAGGAUUGUAAAAUUCUUUCACCGGGGACGAUAAUGACGGUACCCGGAGAAGAAGCCCCGGCUAACUUCGUG
rnacentral:rRNA from 1 species